rnacentral:misc_RNA from 1 species
AACAAUAUGGUUCUCAUUUGAAAGUAAAAUACCGGUAGUUGAAAUAAAAAAAAAUUUGUGACUUAGUAUUAAUUAGUUGUGUAUAUUUAAUAUGUAUAUUCCUUUUUAUUGUGUGAAAGCGUUAUUAAAAUGCAGAAUUCCUCACAAAUUGUUUUAUUUUUCAUUUGAAAAGCCGGUCAGUUGUGUUGUGGAAAUAGACAUAAUGUUUACUACUUUUGUAACAAGAACACAGCCAAGCAGAGCAUCAUCAAGAAAAUGAUUUUAAGUAUUGGCAGUGUACAUAUGUGUGUGGGUUUUUUAAAUAACUUUUCCCUGUCACCAGGUCAGUAUACAUGUAUUUAGAAAGUUAACUCUUAUCUUCAGUGUGUAUUUCAUUUACUCAGAAAUAAAAUUUAAGUUC